UGCCAGCCGCCGCGGUAAUACAGAGGGAGCAAGCGUUGUUCGGAAUUACUGGGCGUAAAGGGCGCGUAGGCGGUCCAUCAAGUCUUGUGUGAAAUCCCCUGGCUCAACUAGGGAACUGCACAGGAAACUGGUGGACUUGAGUUCGGGAGAGGGAAGCGGAAUUCCGGGUGUAGCGGUGAAAUGCAUAGAUAUCCGGAGGAACACCGGUGGCGAAGGCGGCUUCCUGGACCGACACUGACGCUGAGGCACGAAAGCGUGGGUAGCAAACAGGAUUAGAUA
rnacentral:rRNA from 1 species